AGUCGAGCGGUGAAAUUUUGACAGAUCCCUUCGGGGAGAAGAUAAAAUGGAUUAGCGGCGGACGGGUGAGUAACACGUGAGUAACCUGCCUUAGACAUUGGGAUAGCCUCGGGAAACCGGGAUUAAUACCGAAUAAAAUCACAGAUACACAUGUAUCCAUGAUCAAAACUCCGGCGGUCUAAGAUGGACUCGCGUCCCAUUAGCUAGUUGGUGAGGUAACGGCCCACCAAGGCGACGAUGGGUAGCCGGCCUGAGAGGGUGAACGGCCACAUUGGAACUGAGAAACGGUCCAAACUCCUACGGGAGGCAGCAGUGGGGAAUAUUGCACAAUGGAGGGAACUCUGAUGCAGCGACGCCGCGUGAACGAAGAAGGCUUUCGAGUCGUAAAGUUCUUUUAUAUGGGAAGAUAAUGACGGUACCAUAAGAAAAAGCCCCGGCUAACUACGUGCCAGCAGCCGCGGUAAUACGUAGGGGGCUAGCGUUGUCCGGAAUCACUGGGCGUAAAGGGUUCGCAGGCGGAAAUGCAAGUCAGAUGUAAAAGGCAGUAGCUUAACUACUGUAAGCAUUUGAAACUGCGUAUCUUGAGAAGAGUAGAGGUAAGUGGAAUUUUUAGUGUAGCGGUGAAAUGCGUAGAUAUUAAAAAGAAUACCGGUGGCGAAGGCGACUUACUGGGCUCAUUCUGACGCUGAGGAACGAAAGCGUGGGUAGCAAACAGGAUUAGAUACCCUGGUAGUCCACGCUGUAAACGAUGAGUGCUAGGUGUCGGCUUAAGUCGGUGCCGCAGUUAACACAAUAAGCACUCCGCCUGGGG
rnacentral:rRNA from 1 species